GGAUGUGAGGGCGAUCUGGCUGCGACAUCUGUCACCCCAUUGAUCGCCAGGGUUGAUUCGGCUGAUCUGGCUGGCUAGGCGGGUGUCCCCUUCCUACCUCACCGCUCCAUGUGCGUCCCUCCCAAAGCUGUGUGCUCGGUCGAAGAGGACGACCUUCCCCGAUAGAGGAGAGGACCGUUCUUCGGUUAAGGGUAUACGAGUAGCUGCGCUCCCCUGCUAGAACCUCCAAACAAGCUCUCAAGAAUCAACCUAUCAAACUUAUGAAAUAGCCAGACGGAGUUCUGAUUAGGAUUGUGUUGAAUCCAUACAUCAAUUUUGGAGACAAUUUCUAU
ensembl:misc_RNA 7SK 7SK RNA